rnacentral:SRP_RNA from 1 species
GCCGGGUGCGGUGGCAUGCGCCUGUAGUCCCAGCUACUCGGGAGGCUGAGGCAGGAGGAUUGCCUGAGCCCAGGAGUUCUGGGCUGUAGUGCGCUAUGCCGAUCUGGUGUCCGCACUAAGUUUGGCAUCAAUAUGGUGACCUCCUGGGAGCGGGGGACCACCAGGUUGCCUAAGGAGGAAUGAACCGGCCCAGGUCGGAAACGGGGCAGGUCAAAACUCCCGUGCUGAUCAGUAGUGGGAUCGUGCCUGUGAAUAGCCACUGCACUCCAGCCUGGGCAACAUAGUGAGACCCCGUCUCUU